GGCCUACGGGGGGCAGCAGUCGAGGAUUUUCGUCAAUGGGCGCAAGCCUGAACGAGCGACGCCGCGUGCGGGAUGAAGGCCUUCGGGUUGUAAACCGCUGUCAGUGGGGAGGAAAUGCAUGUGGGUACUCCCACAUGUUUGACUAAUCCGCAGAGGAAGUGUGGGCUAAGCUCGUGCCAGCAGCCGCGGUAAGACGAGCCACACAAACGUUAUUCGGAAUCACUGGGCUUAAAGGGUGCGGAGGCUGUGCAGAAAGUUGGGUGUGAAAUCCGACAGCUUAACUGUCGAAGUGCACUCAAUACUACUGUGCUAGAGGAAGACAGAGGUAAGCGGAACUGAGGGUGGAGCGGUGAAAUGCGUUGAUAUCCUCAGGAACACCGGUGGCGAAGGCGGCUUACUGGGUCUUUUCUGACGCUGAGGCACGAAAGCUAGGGGAGCGAACGGGAUUAGAUACCCGUGUAGUC
rnacentral:rRNA from 1 species